GCGUGCCUCGGCAUCAGC
rnacentral:snRNA from 1 species